rnacentral:lncRNA from 1 species
GCCAGAGUUGGCUGGUGCUCGUUAUGGCGUGACGGUGGGGAUGGGGUUUGGCUCUGUGCUCCCUGUGCUUUCUCCAUGGCGUAGUUUAUCAGCCAGAGCACAGGGAGAGUCCCAGAAAACCCGACCAAAACAAUCCUAACCCAUGUCGCAACGGGCUACGGUAUUUAUACAGGAGCUGUCUCAGAAGGCUUUCCAAAUAGUCCAUUGAAAGGUUGAGGUUUUUGUGGGGUUUUUGUUUGUUUGUUUUGUUUUUUACAAACCUCAGUCCAAGACCAAACCACUUAUAGUUAUGUCCGCAGCUUUGCCCAAGGUGUCCGUGAGCUGUCGUCAGUAGCCUUCUCAAAGAACGUACAGGCUUGGGAUUUUCACUGUGCCUUUGAAGGAAUGGCCUGGAAGCAGGGGAGAAGGAGAUAGCUUCACAGCCCCCUCCCCUCUUUCCCUGGAGCAACGUGGGAGAGUGAGAGGUUGGCACUGAGGAUUAUGUACGACCAGCACACUCAGGAAACCUGUCCAUCUGGAAAUAAAGGUUUCAGUCAAUGCAGUGAACGUAACAAGAGACAGAACCAAUGAGGCCAGAUUGAAGGAGUCGAUCUAAGCUGAAUACAAGGAAGAAGAGUUAUCUUGGGAUGGAAAUCAGCUGUCCCACAAGUAAUGUGGCAUGGAGAAAGCCCAUCAACUUGUCACACCUGAAGAUGAAGGAGCAGUUUGUACAGCCUUUGGCUUGGAAAGAACAUGGCUAGACCAAGUAAAAGUGGGAUCCUAGUAGCAACCUCUUGAACAUGAGGGUUCGGCUCAAUAUCCUCUUCCACUGAAGACUCAACAAACACAUGCUGAAUUUCCUCAACAGAGCUGAGACGUUUCCAGUGUAAGCAGUAUAUAAUAGGCAUGAAACAGAAAAAUCAAGGAUGGUUUCCUCUACUGGAGAGGUGCAUGUUUCAUGAUGCUGAUUAGAAAGUCCAGCCUGAGAGAGGCUCUUUGAAGAUUCUUGGCCCACGAUAGCCAGAGACAGCUCAAAGGGAGACAGAUAUCCCUGAUUUAUAGCGAGCUCAACUACGACCCAGUGCAGAAGAGAGGCCAUCCUUCGGUUAAGUGGGCAGUAGGAAUUUUGCAGAACAUGUUUUGGGGGCUCUGCCAUGCCCGGAUCUGUGCAGUAGUCAGUAGGGACAGCUAGAGCAGUUUGGGGUGAAGAGUGUGCUUUAAGCCCAAGCUUAGCAGAACAGCUAGCAGAGACAACCGGUGUGGCACGCAGGCCAAGCCCAGCAAUUGAUGUCAAGCCAGAAUGAUGAAAG